AUUUCAGGGUUUUCAUAACUGAGCAUCAAACGGAUCUUUAAAACGGAUGAAUUUUAUAGUGUGAAAGCAGCCUAACAUGUGGUGUUUGGCAUUUUAACUGGUCUGUAUAUUAAAAAAAAAUAAAAAAUCAGUGUUGUACCUAAAGUGGUUGUCCAGGAUUAGAAAAAAAGCUGCUUCUUACUUGCAAAAUCAGCCCCACUCCUAUCCAAUAAAGCCAAGCUGCAAUACCAGACACAAUCUGUGAAGCGAAUGGGACUGAGCUGCAGUACUACACACAACCUGUGGACAGGAGUGGUGCUUGUUUUGUUUUAUUUUUAUUUUUUUUCUUCCACUUCUUCCAGAAAGUGUUUUUCUAGUCAUUGACAACCCCUUUAAAGAAAAGGUUCACUUACCACCAGUUCUCUUUUGGACUACACAAAAACUGAUGUUCACAUAAAGAUUAAGGAACAUGAUUGCAGCCUUUGUGAGCCAUGGAUUGACUAUUAUACUAUCAUUUUCCAUCAUUGCUCCUUUUUAUAGUCUUGGGGCCUAAACUAAAUUGUACUAUACACUAACAACCAAUGGUCAGACUGUUCUAAAACAUUUCCUUUAGUGGUAUAUUCCUAUGCGGUUGACUUGUUGCAGAAACUUCAAACUAUUUACCUAAAUGGCACUUGCAGCAACACUUUUAUAUGCUGCAGAAAUAACUCCAUUUAGAAUAAGGGUAUAUUCACACGGCAGAAUUUCUGCAUAAAUGCACCCGUUUAACGUCUGCAUUUAUUUGCGAGGUUUCUGGCUUGUGCGUUUUUUUUUGUUGUUUUUUUUUGUGCAGAAUCCGCAUGCUGAAAUUCUGAAGUGUAAAGGAGUGUGAAAUCACAUUGGAGUCUUUUGGGCUUUAAUUUGAUACAGAAUCUGUAAGUAAUUGUCAUUUGAAUAUACCCUAUAGCAGUGGUCCACAGGUUGAAGACCACUGCCCUAUAGGAACUGGUUUUCUGUCAUAGAAAUUUCUUAACAUGUCUGGAAGCUGUGAAUAUACUCCUAUGGGUUCAGUUUUAAGCAAGCACAAUAUGUGAAUUGGGUGAGAUCCUGGAAGUGUUGGUGCUGUUUGUUAUCUAGUUUGUCACCUCUACCAUGGAUAUGAUAUGCAAAUGACAGUGGAAUUUUUGUGUUCCUUUAAAUUCGUCUCUCAGGGUUUUUAGUUAAAAUCUAGACUUGAUAAAAUGUAAUUUGCUACUGCUGAAUAAGUAACAUCUGCAGUUGUAUUUGGUAGAAUUCACGUAAAAUAGAAUCACUGAUUCAGCCCAAACCAUAUAGAUUCUUAGAAUUUCUAGACUAUUGUGCUGGUUGUGUUGUACAUGAUUAUUCGGUCUCUGUGUAGUAAAGUGUAUUUAAACCAUGCAAAGUCAAAUAUACAUGUGGUUAAUGGUGUAAAAUUAGACUUGCAAACCUUGUUAGACUGGUAUGUACACUGUGGAAUAAAUCUAUUUCUAUUGACUUUUA